CGUGAACGCUGGCGGUAGGCCUAACACAUGCAAGUCGAACGGCAGCACAGUAAGAGCUUGCUCUUACGGGUGGCGAGUGGCGGACGGGUGAGGAAUACAUCGGAAUCUACUUUUUCGUGGGGGAUAACGUAGGGAAACUUACGCUAAUACCGCAUACGACCUACGGGUGAAAGCAGGGGAUCUUCGGACCUUGCGCGAUUGAAUGAGCCGAUGUCGGAUUAGCUAGUUGGCGGGGUAAAGGCCCACCAAGGCGACGAUCCGUAGCUGGUCUGAGAGGAUGAUCAGGCACUCUGGAACGAAAACCGGUUGCAGGCCCUCACGUGGGGCAGCAGUUGGGUAAUUUGGAAAAAGGGCGAAAGCGUGAUCCAGCCAAUCCGCGUGGUUGAAAAAGCCCUGUGGUUUUUAAAGCCCUUUUUUUGGAAAAGAAAGGCAAGUGGUUAAACCCCCUUUUUUUGGGCGUUCCCCAAAGAAUAAGCACCGGGUACUUUCGC
rnacentral:rRNA from 1 species